GACGAACCGUGCGAACGUUGUUCGGAUUCACUGGGCUUAAAGGGCGCGUAGGCGGGCCGCCCGGUCAGGGGUGAAAUCUUCCGGCUCAACCGGAAAAGGGCCCCUGAUACCGGCGGCCUCGAGGGGGGUAGGGGCGUGCGGAACUUCCGGUGGAGCGGUGAAAUGCGUAGAUAUCGGAAGGAACGCCGGUGGCGAAAGCGGCGCGCUGGACCCCUCCUGACGCUGAGGCGCGAAAGCCAGGGGAGCAAACGGG
rnacentral:rRNA from 1 species